rnacentral:lncRNA from 9 species
ACACCUAGAAGCUUAGAAGUUUCAUGUCUUUGACUAGAAGCUCUGUGUAUUUAACUAGAGUGGCAGAAAAAUUGAAUGCUCGCUGCUCUCCAAGCUGAUCUUCGACUCUGCUAUGCCUGAGCUUGAACAAAAUGCCUCAUAUUCUAUCACUCAAGCAGCAAAACCUGGCUUGGUCCCUCUUUGGGUGGGCAUCCAGUGAUCAGUUCCUUGCUCCUUCAGUCUCUUACUCACAAGGCCUUUCACAUCUCCCACCAAGGCCUAUUUGAGGUAACUAGCUCUAUAGCUUUCUCAUUUCUUUUUUUUUUUUUUUUUUGUCUUUUUGCCAUUUCUAGGGCCACUCCCACGGCAUAUGGAGGUUCCCAGGCUAGGGGUCCAAUCGGAGCUGUAGCCUUCGGCCUACGCCAAAGCCACAGCAACGCGGGAUUCGAGCCGCGUCUGUGACCUACACCACAGCUCACGGCAACGCCGGAUCGUUAACCCACUGAGCAAGGGCAGGGAUCGAACCCGCAACCUCAUGGUUCCUAGUCGGAUUCGUUAACCACUGCAACUCCUAGCUUUCUCAUUUCUAAUAAGAUAUUCCGCCCCAGGGACAGAAAACUGCUUUUUUUUAACCUCCUAAAUACACUAUGCCCAUCUCCUACACCAAAUCUUCACUCAUCGCAAGUCACUCAUUAUAAUUCUCACUCAUUCUCUCUCUGUUUCUCUUGCCUGAAUUCCACUCAUCAGUCAAGCCCAUGUCUGAGGUCACAUGUCCUGAAUGCUCUUCAUGAACCUGAUUUCUCUGACCUGGAUCAAUCACGGUACUCUGAAUUCCUAUAGCAUGUAAUUUAUAUAAUAUACAUUUUAAUAUUCAAUCAUACCCUUCCUUAUUC